GGGCGUUGCAAGCAGUGCCCCGAUUGGCUUGCUAGAGAAAAACUGUGGGUUACAACAUACAGAACCAGACAGAACAGACGUAUAUCUUAGCAGUUACUGUAUCAGGUAUCAUGGAUGGAAGUCCAGCUGUCUGAAAGUCUGAGAAGAAGGUGUUCCUGUAUUAACCAUAUCCAUAUGGUAAUCCUUAGACACAAACAGAACAGGUACACUAUGGAAGUGCAGAACAACUGGGACUCUGGCUGCCUCAUAACAGCAACCAUUAUGUAAACCAAUAUGUUAAGAAAAAAGAAAACAGGAGUCAAAAUAUUUGAAGUU